CAGUAGGGAAUCUUCCGCAAUGGACGAAAGUCUGACGGAGCAACGCCGCGUGAGUGAGGAAGGCUUUCGGGUCGUAAAGCUCUGUUGUGAGGGAAGAACAAGUACCGGGGUAACUACCGGUACCUUGACGGUACCUCACCAGAAAGCCACGGCUAACUACGUGCCAGCAGCCGCGGUAAUACGUAGGUGGCAAGCGUUGUCCGGAAUUAUUGGGCGUAAAGCGCGCGCAGGCGGCUUCUUAAGUCUGAUGUGAAAUCUCGGGGCUCAACCCCGAGCGGCCAUUGGAAACUGGGAAGCUUGAGUGCAGAAGAGGAGAGUGGAAUUCCACGUGUAGCGGUGAAAUGCGUAGAUAUGUGGAGGAACACCAGUGGCGAAGGCGACUCUCUGGUCUGUAACUGACGUUGAGGCGCGAAAGCGUGGGGAGCAAACAGGAUUAGAUACCCUGGUAGUCCACGCCGUAAACGAUGAGUGCUAGGUGUUAGGGGUUUCGAUGCCCGUAGUGCCGAAGUAAACACAUUAAGCACUC
rnacentral:rRNA from 2 species